rnacentral:rRNA from 1 species
GACGAACGCUGGCGGCGUGCUUAACACAUGCAAGUCGAACGGAAAGGCCCUGCUUGCAGGGUACUCGAGUGGCGAACGGGUGAGUAACACGUGGGUGAUCUGCCCUGCACUUCGGGAUAAGCUUGGGAAACUGGGUCUAAUACCGGAUAGGAACCAUCUUUAGUGUGGUGGUUGGAAAGUUUUUUCGGUGUAGGAUGAGCUCGCGGCCUAUCAGCUUGUUGGUGGGGUAAUGGCCUACCAGGGCGGCGACGGGUAGCCGGCCUGAGAGGGUGUACGGCCACAUUGGGACUGAGAUACGGCCCAGAGUCCUACGGGAGGCAGCAGUGGGGAAUAUUGCACAAUGGGCGCAAGCCUGAUGCAGCGACGCCGCGUGGGGGAUGAAGGCCUUCGGGUUGUAAACUCCUGUCGCUAGGGACGAAGCUUUGUUGUGACGGUACCUAGAUAAGAAGCACCGGCUAACUACGUG